AUGUUCAUGUGGCUGCCCUUCGGCGUUGCACUUGCCUCCGCCCGCCUCACCGUCGCGCUCACCGUGCCAUAUCGAUAUUCCACGCCGAUCCUGGCGGCCACCGGCAUGUCAUGGCGGCUCAAGGCCCUCGAUGGGCCACCGCUGCAGACCGCUGGCGUCGAGCGAGGUUGCCGGCGCGGGCAGCUGUUUGUGUGCAACCACCGCACCCUCCUCGACCCGGUGUACGUGUCAGUGGCGCUGGACCGACCGGUGCGCGCCGUGUCGUAUAGCCUCAGCCGGCUCUCGGAGCUCAUCUCACCAAUCGGCCGCACCGUGCGGCUGACACGAGACCGCGACGCCGACGGACGUGCCAUGGCCCGACUCCUGGAGAUGGGGGACCUCGUC
rnacentral:rRNA from 1 species